rnacentral:rRNA from 1 species
UACGGGGGGGGCAAGCGUUGUUCGGAAUUACUGGGCGUAAAGGGCGCGUAGGCGGCCUGCUAAGUCGGACGUGAAAUCCCCCGGCUCAACCGGGGAACUGCGUCCGAUACUGGUGGGCUCGAAUCCGGGAGAGGGAUGUGGAAUUCCAGGUGUAGCGGUGAAAUGCGUAGAUAUUCGGAAGAACACCAGUGGCGAAGGCGGCUCACUGGCCCGGUACUGACGCUGAGGUGCGAAAGCGUGGGGAGCAAACAGG